CAGGAUUCCCCUAGUAACGGCGAGUGAAGCGGGAAGAGCUCAAAUUUAAAAUCUGUAAGGUUCACCCUUGCCGAAUUGUAGUUUGAAGAAGUGUUUUCCGCGGCGGCUGCAGUACAAAUCCUUUGGAACAGGGUAUCAGAGAGGGUGAGAAUCCCGUCUUUGACUGUAGACUAGUUGCACUGUGAUACACUUUCUAAGAGUCGAGUUGUUUGGGAAUGCAGCUCAAAAUGGGUGGUAAAUUUCAUCUAAAGCUAAAUAUUGGCAAGAGACCGAUAGCGAACAAGUACCGUGAGGGAAAGAUGAAAAGAACUUUGAAAAGAGAGUUAAAUAGUACGUGAAAUUGUUAAAAGGGAAACGCUUGAAGUCAGUGUUGCCGGCGGAAAAUCAGCUUCAUGUGGACGGUUUGCUGCGGUGGAGGGAGUGUUAAAACCCCUUGCGGUAGUACAACUGGCCGGAUGGAGUGCACUUUUCAGUCGGCAGGUCAACAUCAAUUUCAGCCGGUGGAAAAAAACCAGUGGAACGUAGGUUGGAGCAAUCUGACUGUUAUAGCCACAGGUGUAUACACCGGCGGGGAUUGAGGACAGCAGUGUAGGCCAUUAUGGCGGAAGCUUCGAGUUUUUCUCCGGGGGGCACGUCAAGACAGCAUGCUGACUUGGUGUGUACACUCUUGGGAACGACGCGGAUAUACUUCUCCUGCACUAAGGAUGUUGACGAAAUGGCUUUAAACGACCCGUCUUGAAACACGGACCAAGGAGUCUAACAAAUAUGCGAGUAUUUGGGUGGCAAACCCAUAUGCGCAAUGAAAGUGAAUGUAGGUGGGAUCCCAGCGAUGGGAGCACCAUCGACCGAUCUGGAUUAAUUUAUGAUAGAUUUGAGUAAGAGCAUAUCUGUUGGGACCCGAAAGAUGGUGAACUAUGCCUGAAUAGGGUGAAGCCAGAGGAAACUCUGGUGGAGGCUCGUAGCGAUUCUGACGUGCAAAUCGAUCGUCAAAUUUGGGUAUAGGGGCGAAAGACUAAU
rnacentral:rRNA from 1 species